UUAUGUUGGGGGUGCCGCUUCAACGGCUACGACAGUAGACGGUCGGACAUGAUAGGUGCUCGGACAUGGGUGCGAUACCCAUCGCCUCCACCAUGAGUGCAUCUCCCGGUGCAUUGAUGAUGGGGGCGAAAUAGGUUCGACGGGCGCUGACGAGUUCUUCUUGCUGUUCGGCAUGGCUCCACCGUUAUCGGGCUUUACGCAUAGUUGCCAACGACAACCAUGCUGCUGGGUACGCCGUCGCCGCGUGAGCGGUGCCGGUCCGGCGUUAAGUCCUGACGGGUAGCACCGUCAGGCGGGGCUUCGGGGCUGCGCCUGGCAACAGAAGCACCCCACUUUCGU
rnacentral:tmRNA from 1 species